UACGAAGGGUGCAAGCGUUAAUCGGAAUUACUGGGCGUAAAGCGCGCGUAGGUGGUUCGUUAAGUUAGGAGUGAAAGCCCCGGGCUCAACCUGGGAAUUGCUUCUAAAACUGGCGAGCUAGAGUAUGGUAGAGGGUGGUGGAAUUUCCUGUGUAGCGGUGAAAUGCGUAGAUAUAGGAAGGAACAUCAGUGGCGAAGGCGACCACCUGGACUGAUACUGACACUGAGGUGCGAAAGCGUGGGUAGCAAACAGGAUUAGAUACCCUGGUAGUCCCU
rnacentral:rRNA from 1 species